ACACGUAGGUGGCGAGCGUUGUCCGGAAUUAUUGGGCGUAAAGCGCGCGCAGGCGGUCCUUUAAGUCUGAUGUGAAACCUUGGGGCUUACCCUCAAGCGUGCAUUGGAAACUGGGGGACUUGAGUCCAGAAGAGGGGAGUGGAAUUCCACGUGUAGCGGUGAAAUGCGUAGAGAUGUGGAGGAACACCAGUGGCGAAGGCGGCUCUCUGGUCUGGGACUGACGCUGAGGCGCGAAAGCGUGGGGAGCAAACAGGAUUAGAUACCCUGGUGGUCCACGCCGUAAACGAUGAGUGCUAGGUGUUGGGGGGGUAAGCUCCUCAGUGCUGAAGUUAACACAUUAAGCACUCCGCCUGGGGAGUACGACCGCAAGGUUGAA
rnacentral:rRNA from 1 species